CCACCCACACUUUCUAUUUUUCCUCAAAAUUUGGUCCCGUUUUCUGUCCACAAUGUUUGUUCUUCGGUUAUGCUGUUUGGAAUAAAAACUGCUCAUUUAUCAGUGAGGUUGUACCAGUAAACCAAGAGGUCUCAUUGGAGAGGUAAGAAAUUGAUUAGGUAUCAAAUGAUUCAAAGAUGAUGAAAACAAGCUUGGAAAGUUUAUUAUCUUUAGUUUGUUGAAGAUGGAUAUGAUUGCAGUUGGUUUGACUCUACAGAUGUAUGGGAUUGAUUGUUCAAGAAGUCCCCUAAGUCUCCGGAAAAAUUAUCAUUCAAUUAUCUGAGUCAGAAAUUAAACAGCUUUGUACUGCUUAAAAGAGAUUUUGAGGUUUCUUAUUUUGGAGUUUCAAUCCCCCAUUACUAUUAAUUUGUGUUCAUCUGGCGGAGAAAAUGAAACAGUGAGAGCUCAUAAAACAACUCCUUCAGCUAAGAAAAUCUGGAGUUACAAGCAACAUAAGUCUCAACCUGCUCCUCUUCUUUGGCUAAGAGGGUAUUUGCUUGAGGAAAUUAUGGCUUACGACUUGACUUGGUGCUGUUUCGUGCUCAGAACUUGAGGCUUUGUGAGGCCCUAGAGAGGAAUAGCAAAAUAAAUAGACAAAGAGGAGCUUAAGGUUACAACAUCUACAAAGAAGAAGAAGAAGAAGAAGAAGAAGAAGAAGUUGCACCUUCCUAAGUGCAAUCUUCGGUUUUCAAAUUCAGAGUCGACCAAAGAAUUAAUAAAUCUUAGUUGUUUCCCAUUCCUUUUCAUUUACAGAACUAGCAGGCAAUCCUUGCUAAAGUUGUACUUGUUGUGGUUGGUGGUUUGGAACCUCAUUCAUUUUAUGGUUAUCAAAUUAUUGCAUUUUGAA